UAUCUCUGUAGAGUCUGCAUAUCAAUAAGCGGAGGAAAAGAAACUAACAAGGAUUCCCCUAGUAACGGCGAGUGAAGCGGGAAGAGCUCAAAUUUGAAAUCUUCAAGGUUUGACCUUGACGAAUUGUAGUUUAAAGAAGUGUUUUCGGUUAGAGGAGUAGUAAAAGUUCUUUGGAAUAGGACAUCAUAGAGGGUGAGAAUCCCGUAUUUGACUAUUCUUUCUAGCUUUGUGAUACACUUUCAAAGAGUCGGAUUGUUUGGGAAUGCAGUCCAAAAUGGGUGGUAAAUUUCAUCUAAAGCUAAAUAUUGGCGAGAGACCGAUAGCGAACAAGUACCGUGAGGGAAAGAUGAAAAGAGCUUUGAAAAGAGAGUUAAACAGUACGUGAAAUUGUCAAAAGGGAAGCGUUUGACACCAGUGUUGUUUUUCCGAAAAUCAAUUAAAAAUUGAUUCAUGCCAGGUUGUAUUGACCUUAUCAGCUUGCAAUUUGGUUUUGGGUCUCUUUUUGAUGCACUUUUCGGUUAACAAGUCAACAUCAAUUUCCUUUGCUGUAAAAAGGUAAGAGGAAGGUGGCUUCAAUUUCGGUUGAAGUGGUUAUAGCCUUUUAUCUCUGCAGUCGGGGAGAUUGAGGUCUGCAGCGUAGAUCCUUCGGGGCUAGAUACAUUUAUGCUAAGUUAUAGCUUUUCAUAGACAACUUGUUGACUAUGUUUAGUCAUGUAGCUUACUCGUAAGUGCUAUUUUACCUACGCUUAGGAUGUUGAGCGCAUGUCUCUCUCU
rnacentral:rRNA from 1 species